GUUCCUGUGGCUCAGUUGGUAGAUCAUUGUGCUAAUAAGGCAAAGUUCAUGGCUUCAAAUCCCAGAGACA